GGUUAAGUUAGAAAGGGCGCACGGUGGAUGCCUUGGCACUAGGAGCCGAAGAAGGACGGGACUAACACCGAUAUGCUUUGGGGAGCUGUACGUAAGCGUUGAUCCAGAGAUUUCCGAAUGGGGGAACCCACUAUCUUUAGUCGGAUAGUAUCCUUACGUGAAUACAUAGCGUGAGGAAGGCAGACCCAGGGAACUGAAACAUCUAAGUACCUGGAGGAAGAGAAAGAAAAAUCGAUUUCCUGAGUAGCGGCGAGCGAAACGGAAAGAGCCCAAACCAAGAAGCUUGCUUCUUGGGGUUGUAGGACACUCUAUACGGAGUUACAAAAGAAAGUUAUAAAUGAAGCGGUCUGGAAAGGCCCGCCAAAGACGGUAACAGCCCGGUAGUUGAAAUGGCUUUCCCUCCAGAGUGGAUCCUGAGUACGGCGGAACACGUGAAAUUCCGUCGGAAUCCGGGAGGACCAUCUCCCAAGGCUAAAUACUCCCUAGUGACCGAUAGUGAACCAGUACCGUGAGGGAAAGGUGAAAAGCACCCCGGAAGGGGAGUGAAACAGUUCCUGAAACCGUGUGCCUACAAGUAGUUAGAGCCCGUUAAUGGGUGAUAGCGUGCCUUUUGUAGAAUGAACCGGCGAGUUACGAUUUGUUGCAAGGUUAAGCGGAAAAAGCGGAGCCGUAGCGAAAGCGAGUCUGAAUAGGGCGCAUAAGUAACAGGUCGUAGACCCGAAACCAGGUGAUCUACCCAUGUCCAGGAUGAAGGUAAGGUAAUACUUACUGGAGGUCCGAACCCACGCACGUUGAAAAGUGCGGGGAUGAGGUGUGGGUAGCGGAGAAAUUCCAAUCGAACUUGGAGAUAGCUGGUUCUCUCCGAAAUAGCUUUAGGGCUAGCCUCGA
rnacentral:rRNA from 1 species